GCCGCGGUAAUACGGAGGAUCCAAGCGUUAUCCGGAUUUAUUGGGUUUAAAGGGUGCGUAGGUGGCUUAUUAAGUCAGGGGUGAAAGACGGUAGCUUAACUAUCGCAGUGCCUUUGAUACUGAUGAGCUUGAAUGAACUAGAGGUAGGCGGAAUGUGACAAGUAGCGGUGAAAUGCAUAGAUAUGUCACAGAACACCAAUUGCGAAGGCAGCUUACUAUGGUUAAAUUGACACUGAGGCACGAAAGCGUGGGGAUCAAACAGGAUUAGAUACCCUGGUAGUCCACGCCCUAAACGAUGAAUACUCGAUGUUGGCGAUAUACGGUCAGCGU
rnacentral:rRNA from 1 species